CGUGGGUGACGAAGGCCUUCGGGUUGUAAAGCCCUGUCGCAGAGGAAGAAGAUCUGACGGUACUCUGUGAGAAAGCACAGGCUAACUCCGUGCCAGCAGCCGCGGUAAUACGGAGUGUGCGAGCGUUGUUCGGAAUCACUGGGCGUAAAGCGAGUGUAGGCGGAUUGUCAAGUCGGAUGUGAAAGCCCGGGGCUCAACCCCGGAGGGUCAUCCGAAACUGGCAGUCUUGAGUUCGGGAGAGGGUAGUGGAAUUCCCGGUGUAGAGGUGAAAUUCGUAGAUAUCGGGAAGAACACCAGUGGCGAAGGCGACUACCUGGACCGAUACUGACGCUCAGACUCGAAAGCGUGGGGAGCAAACAGGAUUAGAUACCCUGGUAGUCCACGCCGUCAACGGUGGGUACUAGGUGGUGCGGGUGUCUGACCCCUGCGCUGCCGCAGUUAACGCA
rnacentral:rRNA from 1 species